UACUGAGUACUGGCUAACCCUUAUGGCCUUAUUCUAGAUUUCAAUUUUUAGAUCUAGUUCUACACUUCUCACUGUGAUAGAGAGACCGAUAGGUGAGAUCGGAGAUGACUCAGAUAGUCAGACGAGAGUCCUCACUCCUCAAGUUCAAGUGUUCAACAGAGAGAGUGAGAGACAACGAUCCAUGAUCGAUCUCCCGUGCCGAGUCGCCGACUGACGAGUCACGAGUGACGUCUGUGUAGCUUAUUCUUCCCUACAGGUAGCUUCUUCUUCUCUACACUUCGAUCGAUCGACCACGCCGAUCUACCUUUUUCCCUUCGUUUUCUCUUCCUUUUUCACUCUUAACUAUGUUCUGCACUUCUGCUAUGUUCUAUUUUUGUUUUCAGUUUGUUUCUGCUAUGUUCUGGAUUUUUUUUAAAAUUUAUGUUCUUAAUUUAUUGGAUGAAAUCUUUUGUUGGGGACUUGGGGUUACUAAAUUUCUUCAAUUUUGGUAAAACCCUGCAAUUUCGGCAAAGAAGAGAAGCAAUUUCUGCAAUUUCUUUUGUUGGAGUUACUAAAUUUCUUCAAUUUUGGUAAAACCCUGCAAUUUCGGCACAGAAGAGAAGCAAUUUCUGCAAUUUCUUUUGUUGCUAAAACCUUGAAAUCUUUUGUUGGGGUUACUAAAUUUCUACAAUUUCUUAAUUUUUGAUUUGUGAAGCAAAUUGUUUUUUUUAAAAUUUGGGAUGGCAGGGCAGUUUUGACCAGGUUAUUUGAGAACCAAAUUCUGCUUUAGUGCUACUGUGUUUGGUCGAAAUUUCAAACUUGUGGACUUGUGGUGGGUAUUUGAUAUAUAUGCAGUUACACAGACAAGUAUAGCUCUUGAAGAGCAUAAAAUUGUAGAUACUAGAUUAAGAUAAACCAUUUUUAGCAUGUUUCUUCAAUUAAUGCUUGUCAAAAUUAUUCAAAAUGAAAUGUGAUAUGACACUGGCACAUUGCUAAGUGCUGAACUGCUGAUAUUUGUGUUGAUAAAUAAGAUUUUAUAGACAAAUAAUCACAGUGUGUUACUGAAUUACCUUAUUCACUUACAAAUAAUCUUUUUGUUUGUAGAGUUCUUAUGGAAACUAGCCAUUUUAUCGCAAACAAAGAAAAUGUUGCAUAGUCAUAUCAUAUGCAUUGGUUAUAGAAGCAAUGAACUUAGACUCAGGUGCACACACUGUAUAAACUGUAUAUAUGAAGUUGUCCAACUGACUUGUUUAAAUUUCAAGAGUACUUAUAACCUGAAAGCCAGUAGAGCAAGUACUCUAUAAUUAGUUGUUUAAAUUUCAAGAGUACUUGUGAAUCAGUCUAUGUAUGUUUCAAUCUGCAACUUCAAUAAUUGAGCUUGUCUGCUUUUUAUCUAAAACUUACUUGUUAUUACUUGGCUAAGAAUUAAAAAUCAGUCAUCCAAAUGGAAUAAACUGUCUAGUAUAUUAAUCAUGGUGUGUAGACCUGGCAAAAUCAUGGUAGUCUCAAUUAUAAGAUGGUCCAUACUCCAUAUAUAAUGAGUUAAUGACACAUUUAUGAAUCUUUUUGUACAUGGAUGUCAAGCUAUUCUUUCACAGUUUCACUAGCAGAUGGGAUGCAAGUAUGCAUUUGGACUUUGGACUUUGGAGCUUAUUUAUGUUGAUGCCUUGAUGGUGACAUACUGACAUGUCAAUAGUCAAAUGAAAUUAAUAGUCUUGCUGAGUUGCUGUCUUGGUUUGAAAUUUGAAUGUGUACUACUGUACUUUAUGGCUUUAUCAUUUAUCAAUCAUUGUAUGUAAAUACUAAAUUGUAAUAUGUUAGUUGUUACAACAACUAAACUUUCCCUAGAAAGUGGAGAGUCGGAGACAGGACAGAAUGAUUGAUUACGAUUAAAAUAUUAUUGUGAAAUUUGUGAUGUACAGGGUUUAAAAAAAAGAAAUGGAAAAGCCCGCGGGCCGGCCUGGCCGGCCCAACCCGGGCCACGGGCUGCCUAAUUUUAGCCCACCAAAACCCAGGCCAUUUUGGCCCGGCCUGCCGAUGGCUCGGCCCGUUUUCCAAGUCUACUUGUAAUUAUUGUGCUGGCAAUCACCUGAGUAAUCAAUGCACCAUCAGUCUUGGGUCGGUCCAGUAUGGGGGUAAUUACCUCACCAGUAUGCAUAUGAUAGUUAUCAUCAAGUUUGUGGGUAUCACCCGGAUUCUUCAUGUAGCUAUAAUUAUCAAGAUCAAUACUCUACUCCAAAUCCAACAUACACGCCAGAAUUCUCAUAUCAACCUCCAUUAAAAGAAGAAAAGUCAAAGUUGGAGGAAUUGUUGUCAAAGCUCAUAGCAAACCAAGAGGAGAGGAGGAUAAACAAGAGCGAUCAAUUCAGAAUCAAGAGAUAUCAAUUCAAAAUCUGCAGAACCAGAUGGAUUAAAUACUUAAAG
rnacentral:lncRNA from 1 species